GGCGGUGGUAAUAUCACAUUGCAUUCACCAGUUCCCCACUGAGUGCUGAAGCAAUUUUGAGCGUUUUUGGUAUCUGGACGGAUGACCGUAUGGGCCAUUACGUGCUGCUGUCU
rnacentral:rRNA from 1 species